UAUGUGGAAGAGUCCUAAGGGCAAAAAGAAAGGAGAUCUAUCUGGUGGCAGAGUGAAAAGAUUACACAGCCUCGCAAGAAGUGUGAGUAAACAGGGUGCAAAAAGUGACUACUAUGGUGAUCAGAGGAAAGGAUGGCCUGCCUGAAAAGAAGUUAUGCCCGGCAAAACAGAGGUUCAGAGGGGAAGCAAUUGCUGUCUAUGAGUAUAUGAUGAGAUUCCAAGUGCAGGUUCGUCUCUAAUAGCCUGCCAGUUGAAUGAAAGUAAUGGAUGGAGGGAAGGG